rnacentral:rRNA from 1 species
AACGCGAAGAACCUUACCUGGGCUCGAAAUGGAGUGGACCGGGGUGGAAACAUCCCUUCCCCGCAAGGGGCUGCUCUAUAGGUGCUGCAUGGCUGUCGUCAGCUCGUGUCGUGAGAUGUUGGGUUAAGUCCCGCAACGAGCGCAACCCUUAUUACCAGUUGCCAUCAUUCAGUUGGGCACUCCGGUGAGACCGCCUCGGAUAACGGGGAGGAAGGCGGGGAUGACGUCAAGUCCUCAUGGCCUUUAUGUCCAGGGCUACACACGUGCUACAAUGGCCGGUACAAACCGUCGCAAACCCGCGAGGGGGAGCUAAUCGGAAAAAGCCGGCCUCAGUUCGGAUCGCAGUCUGCAACUCGACUGCGUGAAGCUGGAAUCGCUAGUAAUCGCGGAUCAGAACGCCGCGGUGAAUACGUUCCCGGGCCUUGUA